UACAGGGGGUGCAAACGUUGCUCGGAAUUACUGGGCGUAAAGGGCGCGUAGGCGGGAUGGCAAGUCGGUCGUGAAAUCCCUCGGCUCAACUGAGGAUCGUCGAUCGAUACUGCCGUUCUUGAGGAUUGCAGAGGAGGCUGGAAUUCCCGGUGUAGCGGUGAAAUGUGUAGAGAUCGGGAGGAACACCGGUGGCGAAGGCGGGUCUCUGGGCAAUUCCUGACGCUGAGGCGCGAAAGCGUGGGGAGCAAACGGG
rnacentral:rRNA from 1 species